rnacentral:rRNA from 1 species
AGUGAACGCUGGCGGUAGGCCUAGCACAUGCAAGUCGAACGGCAGCACAGUAAGAGCUUGCUCUUACGGGUGGCGAGUGGCGGACGGGUGAGGAAUACAUCGGAAUCUACUUUUUCGUGGGGGAUAACGUAGGGAAACUUACGCUAAUACCGCAUACGACCUACGGGUGAAAGCAGGGGAUCUUCGGACCUUGCGCGAUUGAAUGAGCCGAUGUCGGAUUAGCUAGUUGGCGGGGUAAAGGCCCACCAAGGCGACGAUCCGUAGCUGGUCUGAGAGGAUGAUCAGCCACACUGGAACUGAGACACGGUCCAGACUCCUACGGGAGGCAGCAGUGGGGAAUAUUGGACAAUGGGCGCAAGCAUGAUCCAGCCAUACCGCGUGGGUGAAGAAGGCCUUCGGGUUGUAAAGCCCUUUUGUCGGGAAAGAAAAGCAGCAGGUUAAUACCCCGCUGUUCUGACGGUACCCAAAGAAUAAGCACCGGCUAACUUCGUG